GGACUAAUCAUUAUUAAUGCAGAAGUAAAAUAAACUACUUACUAAAAUCCCCAAGACCCAAAACUCAUCGUACAAGAACUACUAAGAAAAAUCAUGUCUAAAGAGAUAUCCAAAAAUAAAGUAAAUAAAAAAAUAUUCCCAUUGUCCGAAAGAUAGACAACAACAAAUAAGGUGACCUAUGGCAGCCUGGAGACGGAGUGCUCACCCUUGGAUCAAGAUCUUCUAUCAAACUCUAGAGGUGAUGUCAUGUUUGAGCCUUUAAAACACUUUCUGCACACAACAAAAGAAAAGUAUAGGGUAGUAUCAAUACAAACCACUAUGUACUGGUAGGUAUCAUAGGCCAACUCAAUUUUAUAGCAUGUACACAAUAUAAAUCAGAUAACAAGUAGACAAGCAUUGUCACAUAACAAAUAUUCAAUGAAUCAACAAUAAAACAACAACAGGUCAAACAGUGCUCACAAUAAGCCACAUAAUCAUCAAAAGUAUCAACCAUAUUGUAAACAUCCAAAAAAUCAACAUAAAUACGUACACACAUGCUAUGGGACUUAUUUUUUCCCAAGUAGUCAUGACCUGUAGGGAACAAUCUAUGUUCAGGUACUGUACCGGUAUGGUACCCGAUACAACAUAUACAUAUCCGUACCGGUGUGAUACCCGAUCCAUCAUACACAUAUCCGUAGGGGCAUGGUACCUGAUCCAACAUAUACAUAUCCAUACCGACAUAGUACCCGAUCCAACAUAUAAAUAUCCAAACCAAAGUGGUACUUGAUUCAACAUACAAAUAUCCAUACCGGUGUGGUACCCGAUCCAACAUAUAAAUAUCCAAACCCACGUGGAACCCGAUCCAACAUACAAAUAUCCGUACCGGCAUGGUACCUGAUCCAACAUAUAAAUAUCUGUACCAGCGUGGUACCCGAUCCAACAUAUAAACAUCUGUACCGAUGUGGUACCCGAUCCAACAUACAACACAAUGUACUAAGUUCACAAGUACACUAAGGUCAUAAGACAAUUUCAUUAAGUAAAUUUUCAAUAAUCAUUUAUAAAUGCAUCAAUAGUCCAAACAACAACGAUUUCAAGCAUAUCCAAAUGCCAAUCAACAAGUAUCUAGUUUAGGAGCAUACACACAAUUAAGUCGAGUCUAAACUCCAAUUAAACCAUAACCUACCUCAACCAACGAAUACAAAAGUAGUUAGUCUGCAAGCGCCUAACCCUUUCUCUUAGUUUUGGAACGUUCAAAAUCUGUUCCAUACUCUCCAUAAAAAUAGGAAUCUAAUAACACCCAUUUUAUAAAUUCUUACUCUAAAAAUCUAGGCCGUUAACCUAAUUUAUCCAUGGUCAUAUAACAUAAUGGAGGUUAAAGUUAUCAGUAACCAUUGUCUCACUUUAAUCGAUGUAAUAUUCUCUUAACCAACACUUUACACGAAAACAUAAAAGUGUUGAAAGAAGUUAAGAACACAUAACCCAAAUUAAAGGUUUUCUGCCUAAACUUGGACCACGUGCAUAUUCUACCUAAACAUAAAACACAAUAUGAUGACAAUAUUAUUCCCUACUAAUCAUUACACUAUUAUUGAACUCCUUAACUCCUUUUUCUAUUUUUGUUCAACACUAAAGGCACCAACCCUCAAUUUUACAAACAAAAAUAUUAAGAAUACAUCUACUCAAAGUGGCUUACCAAACUGUCCAGAUCUUCUUCAACACUGCGAUGGAGAGAAAAAAAUUACAAUGCUCUUUCGUGCCUUUUCUUCCUAAUAUCUGAUGAUAUUAAUAUUAUAAAUGGUUAACCCUAACCACUUAAUAUCAUCCUUAUAUUAACCACGUAAGUAAAUAAAUUAUUAUUUUGACCCACUAAUUUAUUAAUUAAAUAAUUUUUAAAAUACUUAAAACUUUCAAAUACCAUAAGAAUUGGUACUACUCAAUGGGUGAGUCAUAAUUCACAUACACUAACUACAGGGAGAGCUAGAAUAGGAAAGAUAAAAAGAUUUUACAAGCUUUUGGGAGGUUUGUUACAUCGGAUUACCGCUAGCCCUUAGAACCGUGUAGAUUAUUGCUAGCCCUUAGAUCCUGCAAUUACCGCCAGCCCUCAAAUCAUGUAGUCUGGUAUCAGAGCCAUUCUAGACUACUUAUUUGUCUGGUAAUAUCAGAUCUAUUAUUUGUAUUACCAGGGCUGGCGGUAAUCUGCACGGCCAUCCAGACCUAUAAGUCAAUAUCAGAAAACCAAACUACAUAUAAAAGAAUUUUUCUAUAGUUUCUUGGCUUGGUUUCGGGAUGGGGGUACAGUCGAAGUUAGUACUGCUUUUGUUGGCUUUGUCUUAGUGACUACGUCUAGUUAGCCGUGACUUUUAAGCCUGUUAAAGAUGAGAAAAGGGGUGCCUCUUUUCACAGUUAGAAUAUCUAGACACAUGGGCUUAACUAAUGUACGUAUUAACUUCUAACAGGCCCUUGCUCAAGUAAAAAGAUUCAAUCUUUCAUACAGUCAAUAAGCUAUAUGAAAUUCUUCUAUAUUUCGGUUGGUUUUUUGAUAUUAACUUAUAGGUCUGGAUGGCCGUGCAGAUUACUACCAGCCAUCAGAUCCUGCAGUCUGGUAUCAGAGCCUAGGAACUUUCAUGGUUAUUAUGUAAUAGAUUUGAACUUUUCAGCAUAGAUAUGAACUUUCUACUCUUGGAAAUGAGAGAUGUGAAUACUAAGAGUACUCGACUUGAAGAGGUAGAUAAACCUCAAAACAUUGACUUGUUAAAGAAGUGGACUAUUCCAAAGGUUGAUAUUAAAACCAUUUAUGAUUAUGGUUGGUUUGAUAAGGUUCUUUCUAAACAAAUAAUAAAGACGACUGAACAAUCUUUGGCAUUAAAUUCGUCCGAACAGAUGAUUCGAUUAUUAAAUUAAUGCGAUAUUGAUUUAUAUAAAAAUCAUUAUAACUUUAUGCAUAUUGGAAUGGUUCAGAUUGCUUUUAAACCAUUAACUCUUAAAGGGUUACCUAAAACAUUUUUAGCAGCUCUUAGGGAUGCUAGAAAUCUAAAUUUUAGACAAUCUUUAAUGGGUACUAUUGAAUCCACCGUGGCCUAUGGUUCAGUUUAUUUAAAUACUCAGCCAAAUUUACGAUUAGCUUUAACUGAUGCGAAUAUACUUGAUGCUUUGAUAUUAAAUGUGAAAAUGUAUGGUUAUAAUUAUGUGCCUGGAUCUAAACUGAUUUUUCUAUGAUACAAAAUUUAUUAUAGAUUAUUAACUACUUUAAAUCCUCGAUGUAGGUUAUACGAUACAUCAGAUCAGACUACAUUAGUCGAAACUAAUUUUCCAAAAUCUAAGGUCACCAUAAGGAGACCUAUUAAAUGGGAUGAGAUUGAUUUUCCUACUACAUGGACCUUAAACUUAGUUAUACCUCCGAAUCAAGUCACUGAUGAUUUAACUAAUAGUGAAUUAUCGCAGGUGAUUUAAAAUCUGGAUGGUAGGAUUUGUAUUCAAUUUGAUGCAAGCUCUGCUGUUUAUAACAAACAUUCAUUGUCCAUGCCUAAAUUAUUGCCUGCUAUGCAUCAUAUUUCUCCUAUAGAACCGUUAAACGGUCCAUCUAGAAGUCGUACAGUUUCCUUGCACAUAAUUGACUCAACUUCUACAAGAUUUGUAGAGAAAGUCAAAGUCAAUCCACAAACAAAUAUUGUCAAGAUAAUGGCAAUAUCUCAAAUAGAGAUAUUCCUACUACUUCUGAAAUGAACUUUGAUCCAAAUGAUAUUUAAUGAUUCCACACCAAAUUAAUUUUAGAUGUGUAUCCCAGGCAAGAAAUUAUAGUAAAAAAGAAUUUUUUAAUAAAAAAUAAAACUAGUUUAGAACUUGGUUUUUUGAGACUUAUAGUCCUGAAGAUAUGAAUAAUAUUUCUCAAGAAUUUUAUGAAACUUGUGCAUUGCAUAAUCAAAUUAUGUGGUUUGUACCUUGGUUUAUAACCACCUAUUUGCCAUUAUAUGUUAAGGUGCUUGAAAGAUCAUAUCAAGAUAAUAGUGGUAUCAUUGUUAAAACUGUUUACCCUCUCCAAGAUCCUUUUAUAUUGCCAAAUAAUACGGGUAUUACAUUUUCUGCAUUUCAAAAAUUCAUUGAUUAUGAAGUUGCUAAGGUAACUAUUGCAGAAAUUAAUAAUUUGAUUUCUAGAAAUAAUUAUUUGAGAUUAUAUGUGAAAGUUUUAAGAGAACAUAUUUCCUCUUUUGCUAAGAAACUCGAUGAGUUAAUUGAUUUGAUAAAGAAGCUCAGUAAUAGCCCAAAUUCUACUGAUAUUGCUUCUUCUUCCGAAAGUAAGAUAGGAGAUUUUACGACUAAAACCGAUAUUCAACGACCCCCUGAUAUUGAGGGAUUUAAAUUUAAGUCACCUUUAUAUGAUUUAGAAUAGCUUCUUGAUAAAAAGCUUUCUGGUCUAAAUAUUAGACCCAUUGAUUUGUCUAAUGCCUUUACUGAUUGUCUAGAAACCACUCCUAAUUUGAAAAAUUAGACUAAAUCAGAGUUUAAUAAGAUCAUAGGAAUAAUUAGAAAGCAACCGGGUAAAAAUCCCAGAUAUGCAGAUUCACCCCGCAUGCAAACUUAUUACUAUCCGCGACCAACUCCUUAAAAUGUUCUGAUCGAGGAAAGGGAUUGGAAUCAAACUAAUAUGUCCUAUAACAGAGAUGAUAUUUAUGAAUGGAAUCCUGAUGGAUUAAUAGAGAGGCAAUUAACAAUCCUCGUACACCACAUGAUGAUGUAUUCAACGGUGUGUAAAGCCACUGGUAAUACAAAUAAUAGAAUAGAUAAAAUUAUCUGUUAAAUGUUAGUUGCUGGUUUUACUGGCCAACUUCGUGGCUAGUGGGACAAUUAUUUGACUCAAGAGAAAAUAAUGUUAAUUUUUAAUGCUAUAGCUACUACUUAAGGGACUGAUAAUUUUGAAAGAACCCUUCCUACAAAGAGAGAAGAUGUUGUUUAUACGUUUGUUCUUACAAUUUUAAAACACGUUAAUGGUAGAUUUACCAACCAGAACAAAAAUAUUCAUAUUCUCUUAAAUUGGCUUAGAUGUAAGACCCUAGAAGAAUUUAGGUGGUACAAAGAUACCUUUUUAAGUAGGGUUAUGGAAUUGCCCGAAAAUAGUUAUGAACAUUAGAAGACCAAGUUUAUAGAUGGACUUCCUUCGAUGUUUGCUGAAAGAGUUAGAAAAGCUCUUAGAGGCUUCUAUGGUGAAAUUCCUGGGGGAAAUUAUACUUAUGAUUAUUUGAUAGUAGCUUGUACACAAGAAGGGUUAAACCUGUGUAAUGAGUUAAAAUUGACUAGACAAAUUAAGCUUGAUAAGCUUCGAGAAAAAUAUCAGAUAGCAGAUUUCUGUACCCAGUUUGGUAUAUUUGAACCUGCUUCCACUUCUAGGAAGAAAGGAAAUAGAUAUCCCAAAAAUCAACAGCCUUAUAGAAAAAAGAGAUCUAGAUAUAUAUCUAAAUAAGAACGUGAAACUAGAAAAACCUAUAGAAAAUCUACUAGAUUUGCCAAAAACAGAUCUAAGUGAGAUCUUGCUAAGAUUAAAUGUUAUAGAUGUGGUAAUUUUGGGAAUAUUGCUCCAAAUUAUAAGCUCCAAAAGCUUAAAUCUUUAGGUCUUGCUGAUGAUGUGCAUGAUAAAGUUUAUGGUUUAUUAUACACCUCAGGUUUAGAAUCUGACUAUAGUACUGAAUCUAAAUCAGAAAAUGAUAUUGAAUUGCCUGAUUCAUCGGAUAAUGAUAAUGUUAAAAUUGUUCUGAUUUCCAAGGUGAUACCUGCACUUGUGAUGAAGCAUUUUAUAAUUUGCAAUCCCAGUUUGAAGAUUUAAAUGUUCAAAUCAUUACUUCUGAAAAUGUGUUAGAACUAUUGAAAGAAGUUUCAGAUUAGAAACUCCAUGAAAAGAUUAUUAAUUUGUCUACUAGUUCAAAAUCCAGUACUUCUAAACAUACUAAUAGCAAUACCUUUACUCCUAAAAUUACUGAUAGCAAUAAUUUUAUGCCUUAGUCUUUAACAGAAGUUAAUAGACGACUUGCUAUGAGUUAUACUCCUGGCAAAGAUACUUUUUUUGAUGAUUUAAAAAUUGAAGUUAAAAACUUGAAAAAAGGAGAUUAAAUCGCUUAAACAAAAUCAAAUGAUUUGUGAUCACAGAAUCUUGCAAAUCGGGAAAGAUAUUUCUCACACUGAAAAUUCUAAAGGGAAAGAAAAGAUUUCUGAAGAAAAUGAUAAUAUUGAUGAUAUUCAAAAUUCCCUUGACUUGAAAAAUGAUUAUUUUUUAGGUAUGAGGCAAAUUGUUACUGCCCAUAAAUGGUAUAUUAAAUGUACUAUUUUGAUUAAUAAUCAUUUCUCUGUCACUAAUAUUGCUAUGAUUGAUAGUGGCGCAGAUGUUAGUUACAUACAAGAAGGAUUAAUUCCCACAAGAUAUUUUCAAAAAACUACUCAUAUAGGUAAAUCGACAUCUGGACAUGCUCUUGAUGUAGAGUAUAAAUUGCCUAAUACUCAUAUUUUCCAAGAUAAAAUGUGCAUUCCACAUUUUUUUUUGGUAAAAAAUCAGUUAUACCCUCCAAUUAUACUUGGAACUCCUUUUAUAAAUGUUGUUUAUCCUUAUACUCAUAUUGAUGUGAAAGGAUUUACUACUACUUACAAAAAUAAAGAGAUAUCUUAUUCUUUUGUUACAGAUCUGGUAACUAGGGAUAUAAAUGCUUUGAUUGAUAUGAAGCAAAGAGAUGUUGAUUUUUUAUAGCUUGAAUUACUUAGCAUGAAUAUUUGUGAUACAAUGAAAUCUUAUAAGGUACAGGAAAAAGUUAAAUUAAUUUCUGAACAAAUGGCUGUUGAUAUUUGUGUUGAUCACCCCAGUGCUUUUUGGAAUCGUAAAAGGCAUAUUAUUACUCUUCCUUAUGAUGAUAAUUUUUAUGAGGAUAAUAUCCCAACAAAAUCGCGACCUUGUCAAAUGAAUGUUGAAUUAGUUGAAUUCUGCAAAAAAGAGAUUGAUAUUCUAUUACAAAAGGGUUUGAUAAAACCUUUAAAAUCUCCUUGGUCAUGUACUAUUUUUUAUGUUAAUAACACAGCUAAAAAGAAACGUGGUGUUCCCAGGUUGGUAAUAAAUUACAAACGUCUGAAUAAAUAUUUAAAAUGGAUUAGGUAUCCGAUUCAAAAUAAAAAAAAAUUAUUAUCCUGGUUAUACGAUUCCAAUAUAUUUUCUAAAUUUGAUUUAAAAUCUAGAUAUUAGCAAAUUCAGAUUUUCAAAGAGCAUACUUAUAGAACAACUUUUAAUGUUCCUUUUGGACAAUAUGAAUGGAAUGUCACGCCUUUUGGUUUAAAAAAUGCCCCAUCAAAAUUUUGGGAAAUAAUGAAUGAUAUAUUUAAUCCUUAUAUGGAUUUCAUCAUCGUUUAUAUUGAUGACAAUCUUGUGUUUUCUAAAACAUUUGAAUUACAUAUCAAGCAUCUUGAUAUUUUUAAGAAAAUUGUGAUACAAAAUGGUUUGGUGAUAUCUAAAUCAAAAAUGAGUUUAUUUCAAACAAAUGUUAGAUUAUUAGGACAUAAUAUUCCUCAAGGGAAGAUUACUCCCAUCCAAAGAUCCAUUGAUUUUGCUUCUAAAUUUCCUGAUGUUAUAACUGACAGGACUCAAUUGCAGAGAUUAUUACGAAGCCUGAAUUAUAUUUCUCCCUUUUAUGAGAAUUUAUCUCGCGAUUUAGCCCCAUUAUACAAUAGGCUAAAAAAAGAAUAUAAAGGCUCUUGUACCAAUAAUCUCACCAAUCUUGUUAAAUGUAUUAAACAGGGUGUUGAAUCUUUACCUUGUUUAACUUUAGUCAAUCUUGCUUGACAAAAAAUUAUUGAAACUGAUGCAUUGAAUAUUGGUUACGGAGGAAUACUGAAACAAGUUAACCCCCAUGAUAAAACUAAAUGCUUAAUAAGAUUUAAUUUAGGUAAAUGAACUGAUAGUUAGAAAAAAUAUGCUACGGUAGCUCAUUAAAUGCUAACCAUUGUUAAAUGUGUUCUGAAAUUUCAGGAUGAUUUUUUUAAUCAAAAGUUUUUGAUAAAAACUGAUGCUCAAUUUGUAAAAUAUAUGUUUGAUAAAGAUUUUAAACAUGAUGCUUUAAAAUUAAUAUUUGUAAGGUGGCAAGCUCAGUUAGCCCCUUUUGAUUUUGAAAUUCAAUAUAAAAAAGGAAUUGAUAAUUCUCUCCCUGAUUUCUUAUCUAGGGAAUAUCUAAAUUAAAAAUGAAUUUUUAUACAUCUUUUCUUCCUAAAAAAAACUUUGAUCACCAUUUUAAAGGUAAUUCCGUUAUACAGAGACAUUCAAAAUCUCAUAAUUGAUAAAAUCAUCCAUGAUAUGAUUGAAGAGUAAUUUCCUGUCUUCAAUUAUGAAGAAAUUAGAGAUAUUGAUUGGUAUGAUUUGGAAAUAUCUGAUUACUUAUCCUCUUUGAAGUAUGGCUACUGACCCACCAUGGCAAAUAGCCAUAGAAAAAGGACAAGGUAGAUCAGGAGGAAGAUCAGCUUUCAGAGGAAGGGAAAGAUCAUCCCCAAUAAUCAGAUCAUAUUCAAGAUCUCAUAUGGAUCCUCUUCCAAUUCCCCAGUUAUACAAAUGGGAAAUAGGAGUUUGAUAAACUCCAAAGUACCGAAAAUAGGCGAAUAUUCAACAUCACAAUCAAUUCAUCUGGAUGAUAUUCCAAAAGACAGCCCGUUAUACAAGCAAUUACAAGCCUAUCUGGCAGCACAAAAGAGUGAUACGUUUGCUUUGAUUGCAAAGAAAAAGGACAAUGAUGAUAUCAAUUCCUAUGAACAAAUUAAAAAUAAAGAAACGAUAUUUUUUGUCGAAAACUUUGAGAUUCAGAGGCAAAAUAGACCGUGGGAGAUACUCCACAAAUAUUUGAUAAAUAAUUAAUAUUUUUUGGGUAAGUAAUACAAAAUCCACACUUAUUAUGAAACGAUUCUCAUUAUUACAUGGAGUACAGAAUUUGAACAUUUCUCUGGGUACAACAGUGAAGAGAACGUUUAUAACUUCUCUAAAAUUAUUAUUAAAUGGAUCAUAUCCAUAGAAGAUUGGGGAGUGACCUCAAUGACUGAGAAGCAGAUAUUGCUUAAAGGUUCCAAGAUCAAUUUCACUUACUGGGACUACAUUGAAGUUUUCUCUAAAGCUCUUUAUUAUAAUAACGACAUACAUAAGCAUACUUGGUUUAUAAAAAUAUGUGCAAAGAUAUUUGUAGAACCUAUCCCUAACUGGUUUAUAGAUUGGUGGUCUUAGCAUGGUCUGACCGUCCAGAUAUUGCCUGAUCCAUUCCUCAAGUUAUACAAAGAAUGGACCAAAGUAUCCCCGCAUUUAAAUGAAUUAUAUCAUGCAGAUCAUAUUUGUAAUUUAGAUAAAAUUGACCAAAUGUACUUCAUUAUUGAAUUUUCUAUUCCCUGGAUUCAUAAAUGGACUCUAGAACUAGGAUUCACUAAAGAACAAAUCCCUUGCUUAUAUAGGGUAUUUUAUAAUAAUUUUUGGGAAAAACUGAUGCGCAAGGAUCCCAAAACAAAAAUAUUGUAUGGACAAGAACUCUUAGAUACUAUUAAAAAGAUGAUUUAGGAAUAUUCUAUAGCCCCUCGAAAAGAUAUUAUCAAGUUUAAAUCAUUAAAGCAUAUUGCUAGAAGAAUCUCUGUCCAUGAAGGAGAUAGGAUCGAGAUAAUUGAAAAAUAUUUGGAAGAAGUUCAAAGAAAUUUGAUGAAAUCAGUUGAUAAUCAUAAUAAGUCAGAUACUUCCAUGAUGAGUAUAACCGGCGAUGAUAUCGCCGAUGAAGAAGUUCAGGAUUCUCAGCCUGUUUCUUUAGAUAAACGGCUAUCUAACGAAGCCAUUGCAAGAAAUGAAGAAUUUCUUAGAAAAUUAAAAGGAAAAAAUAAAGUGUAAUACACACAGUAUAUUUACUGUGCACGGGACCCGGAUAUGGGACCCUUAGUACUAUUCCUAUACAAUAGAUCCACUGUACAUAGGAUCCGAAUGUGGGACCAAUAAUACUAUUUGUAGAUACCUUUUUCUUCCUAUAAAUAGAUGCCUUCAUUUGUUAGGGAAGGUAGAAAAUUUUCAUCUUUUUAUCUUCUCUUUUUCAUUUCUCUCUCUAGCUUAGAGUGCUCUCUCUUCUCUAUUGUAAAAUAAUCUCAAGUGUGGAAUAAAACGUGUUGUUAUUACUAUUCUAGCCUUGCAUCCAGAUAUUAAAGGUAUUUUAUUUUAUUUGUAAUUAUUUACUCGCGCUCUCUUUGCGGCCGUGACUAUAUCUAGCUAGAUAAUUUUCAUAUCUAUGCUGGAGAUCUAAUUUCUUUUGUAUAAUAACCAUGAAAGAUCUAGACUCUAUCAAAAUAUAAAAGAAUUUUUCUAUAGUUUCUUGGAUUGGAUCCGAGAUGGUGGUACAGUCGAAGUUAGUACUGCUUUUGUUGGAUUUAUCUUAGUGACUACAUCUAGCAAGCCGUUACUUUUAAGCUCGUUAAAGAUGAGAAAGGGGCGCCUCUUUUCACGGUUAGAAUCGCUAAACACAUGGGCUCAACUAAAGUACAUAUUAACUUCUGCCAGGCCCCUUGCUCGGGUAAAAAGAUUCAAUCUUCCAUACAGUUAAUAAGUUACAUGAAAUUCUUCUAUACUUCGGUUGGUUUUCCGAUAUUAACUUAUAGGUCUGGAUGGCCGUACAGAUUACUACCAGCCCUCAGAUCUGUGGGGAUUACCGCUAGCCCUCUGAUCCUGUAAUUGCCGCUAGCCCUCAGAUCUUGUAGUCUGGUAUCAGAGCCAUUCUAGACUGCUUAUUUUUCUGGUAAUAUCAGAUCUAUUAUUUGUAUUACCAGGGCUAGCGGUAAUCCGCACGGCCAUCCAGACCUAUAAGUUAAUAUCAAAAAAACAACCAAAAUAUAAAAAAAAAAUUUAAAAUAGUUUCUUGGCUUAGUUCUGAGAUGAUGGUACAGUCGAAGUUAGUACUGCUUUUGUUGGCUUUGACUUAGUGACUACAUCUAGCAAGACGUGACUUUUAAGCCCAUUAAAGAUAAGAAAAUGGGUGUCUUUUUUCAUAGUUUGAAUCGCUAGAUACAUGGUCUAAACUAAAGUACGUAUUAACCUCUGACAGGCCCCUUGCUCGAGUAAAAAGAUUCAAUCUUCCAUACAGUCAAUAAGCUAUAAGAAAUUCUUUUAUAUUUUAGUUGGUUUUUCGAUAUUAACUUAUACAUCUGGAUGGCAGUACAGAUUACCGCCAGCCUUCAGAUCCUAUAAUUUGGUAUCAGAGCCUUGGAACUUUCGUGGUUAUUAAGUAAUUGAUCUGAACUUUACUGCAUAGAUAUGAAUUUUCUACUCAUGAAAAUGGGAGAUGUGAGUACUAAGAGUACUCAGCUUGAAGAGGUAGAUAUACCUCAAAACCUUGACUUGUUAAACAAGUGGGCUAUUCCAAAGGUUGAUAUUAAAAUCAUUUAUGAUUAUGGUUGGUUUGAUAAAGUUCUUUCUAAAAAAAUAAUAAAGAUGACUGAACAGUCUUUGGCAUUAAAUUCAUUCAAACAGAUGAUUCGAUUAUUAAAUAAACAUGAUAUUGAUUCAUAUAAAAUUAUUAUAACUUUAUGCAUAUUGGAAUUGUUUAUAUUGCUUUUAAACCAUUAACUCUUAAAGGGUUACCUGAGGCAUUUUUAGCAGCUCUUAGGGAUGCUAGAAAUCUGAAUUUUAGACACUCUUUAAUGGGUACGAUUGAAUUCACCGUGGGCUACGGUCCAAUUUAUUUUAAUACUCAGCCAAAUUUACAAUUAGCUUUGAUUGAUGCGAAUAGACUUAAUGCUUUGACAUUAAAUGUGAAAAUGCAUAGUUAUAAUUAUGUGCCUGGAUCUGAACUUAUUUAUCUUUCAUACAGAAUUUACUAUAGAUUAUUAACUACUUUGAAUCCUUGAUAUAGGUUAUAUGAUACAUCAGAUCAGACUAUAUUAGUCGAAACUAAUUUUACAAAAUCUAAGGUCAUCACAAGGAGACCUAUUAAAUGGGAUGAGAUUGAUUUUCUCACUACAUGGACCUUAAACUCAGUUAUAUCUCUGAAUCAAGUCGCUGAUGAUUUAACUAAUAGUGAAUUAUCUCAUGUGACUCAAAAUUCGGAUGGUAGGAUUUGUAUUCAAUUUGAUGCAAGCUCUACUGUUUAUAACAAACAUUCAUUGUCCAUGCCUAAAUUAUUGCCUGCUACGCAUCAUAUUUCUCCUAUAGAACCGUUAAACGGUCCAUCUAGAAGUCGUGCAGUUUCCUUGCACAUAAUUGACUCAACUUAUACAAGAUUUGUAGAGAAAGUCAAAGUCAAUCCGCGAACAAAUAUUGUUCAAGAUAAUGACAAUAUCUCUAAUAGAGAUAUUCCUACUACUUCUGAAAUGAACUUUGGUCCAAAUGAUAUUUAAUGAUUUCACACCAUUAAUUUUAGUUCUGGAUCCCAGGCAAGAAUUAUAUUAAAAAGAAUUUUUUAAUACAAAAUGGAACCAAUUUAGAACUUGUUUUUUUUAGAUUUAUAGUUUUGAAGAGAUGAAUAAUAUUUCUCAAGAAUUUUAUGAAAAUUGUGCAUUGCAUAAUCAAAUUAUGUGUUUUGUACCUUGGUUUAUAACCACCUAUUUGCCACUAUAUGUUAAGGUGCUUGAAAUAUCAUACCUAGAUAAUAGAGGAAACAUUGUUAAAACUAUUUACCCACCCCAAGUGUAAUGCCCUCUUCCAGUCUGAGCCUUACAGCGUAUUUGGUAAAGUAAAAAUCUGAGUCAAAAUGUUUCAAAAAUAUCCUCCCAAGUAUGAAAUACUUUGAAUUGUGUGGGAAUCUAUUUGACCAUGAAUUAAGAUCAUAGAGGUCCCCUAACUCAUGGACGAGUUGAAAGCUUUCCUAUCGUUCAAGUUUUAGUGACCGUCAAAAUUUAGGUCAAAUUCAAUCGAUCAUAACUCCUUGUAUAUAUUUAAUUAGAGGACCUACUAUAUAUCAAAUGAAAUAUCUUUGAAUUAUCUUUCCAACGAUAUCAAUUUCAUCAAAAACCAAUAUCAGAGCAAAUAGUUAUGCAUAUUUUACUCCAGCAUGUCAGUAUGAAAAAUUGUGACGAUAUUUUGUGACGGCCCAUCACAGAUCUGAUGGCUUGUCACAAAAGGACGUCACAAUUAGGCAGAAAUUCAUAAAAUUCACUCUUUUGUGAUAACAUUUUGUGAUGGCCUGUCACAGGUUUGACGGACUGUGACAAAUGUCGUCAGCCAUUUUUUUUAGCAAUUUAGAGACGUUUUUGCAAGGGUAUUUUGGUCAUUUUCCACCUUUUGGAAUCCUCUAUAAAUAUGAGAACCCUCAUUCAAACCCUAAUUUCUCCAUUUCUCUUCCAAUUCUCUAAAGAAAAAAUAUCUAGGGUUUCAUUCAAGAACCCUAACCUUCCAAAAAUUCAUCCAUAAAUCUUCAAGAUUUCUUUAAGAAUUAAGUUCCUCAUAGUGUGGACUUCGAGAAUCAUCCAAUUUCAAAGAUUAAGGUAUGUAGAUGUUGAUUCUUGGGUCCCUUUCAUCUAAGAAGCUUAAGAACUCUUUUUAAAACUAAAAGAUUUUUAUGUUUAUGAGUUGUUAAUGAUUUGUAUGAGUUGAAAUUGAUGUUUAAUGUGUUGUUGAGUUUUGAUUUAUCUUUUCCUACAAAAAUUAUGAGCUUUGACCCUAGUAUGUGGAAUGUAUGUGAUCUUUGUGAUAGACCCUCUUAAAGUUGUUUUCUAUGUGAUGUGUUCAUGACUUUUGAGUGUAGAAAUGGUUGAAUAAGUGAAGCAUGUCCCCCAUAGGUUUGAUAAAGAGCUUAGGAGAAGCAUAAGGGCCAUUACAGUAUGUUGAAUAGGAAGCCCCAAAUUUUGAGCUAGUUCAUGCAUGCCUAGUGUUUGAUAAAAUGCCUUAGUGAGUGAUAUGUGCCAAGAUAGCAUGAAAUCCCCAUGUAGGUGUAAAAUCGGUCAUGUCUAGUGGUUGUUGAAAGGCCCUGGUGAACAACUCGAGAUAUGAUGGUUGUAAAUUCCCCAAUUAUGUGCUCUUUGAUAUAUGCUAAAUUUUUAAUACAUGUCAAGUGGUUAGCAAGUAAGUUGUGACAUGAUAGUAUGAAGUUUCCCCAAGCCAUAUGAUAUCCAAACAGGUGUCAAGAUUGAUAUAGGUAUGAAAUAGUUGAGGUAAAACUUUGUUGAAUGGAGUACGAUCUAGUAGCAUGUUUCCCCUAUGUUGUUUUAUGAUAUGAUUCCUAAUUACUUGAAGAUUCUUUAAUGAUCUUGAAGAUACAUGAAUGAUUGUGAUGACAUAUGAAUGAAUGUGAUGAUGAAUAAAUGAUUAUGCUUUACUUUUAUGUCAUCGAGUCCUGGGGGUAUUUAUACUCGACAAUAGAGCUAUUGUUUAGAGCCUGUGUCAGUUUCUCGAUAAUUUCAGUCGAGCCAUGAUUCUCAGAACUCAGUGAACUAUAGAACUCUGUAUCCUCAUACAAGUGCGUAACUUAAGUAAACUCAGUAAUCUCUGUUAUCUCUGUAAUCUCUGUAUCACUAGUAAUCUAGCCUCAGUCCUGUAAUCAGCUCAGUUCUAAUAUUAUUCAAGUGAUUCAAUUUUAAUCUCAAAAGUGAUUUGAGUAAUCUAUUUAAGCUCUAUAUCGUCAGUCAGAUACCAUGAUUCGAUACCUUUCCCGUCAGAUACAGAACUAAGUAAUCUCAGAGUAACUCAGUUAGAUCUUUUGAGAAACAUGAUCAGUAUCAAAUUUAGCUCAGUCUAAGUUCAGUUAAGUAUCAGAUCAGUGUCUUUCAGUUGGGAGUAAGACUUAGCACCGAGUGAUCUCAAGGAUGGGAACUCACCUACUAGUAGAGGGUGUGAUUCUUAGAAGCAAUCCUUACACUCCAGAACUACGUAGCCAGCAUAGGUUGAGACAUCAUACCUGCUAGUUAAGGGUAGAUGAGGUGACUUGACCUAUUAGAUGAGGGCUCCACCAUUCUCAUUUGAGUACCUGAUAGAUGAGGGUCACAUAAAGAUAAUGUCUUUACCCGUGGUACGGUAUUGGCACCCUUCCAGCCGGGGGUAGAGCCUGGACCCCUAAGAGAUAGUAGGGGCAUAUUGGGUAGAUUACUACUUCCCACAGUUUCAGUUUCAGAUUCAGUUUCAGUUUCAAAAUCAAUUUUCAGAAAUCAGGACUGUCAGAUACAGUCAUCUAUCUUUAUGAGGAACUCAGAUAGUUCCAUUGAUCCAUGGACCAUCCCGUCAGAUAGGCUUGGUCUCAUAUAUAGUUGUUUGAUAGCAUAUUCAGAGAUAUGCCUCCAGACAGGCUUGAUCAUAGUAUCAGAUUUUUAUUGAAUAUUCUUGUUGUCAGAUUAAGAUAUAAUCAUAUUUCUUGUCAUUGAUAAAGCUUCUAAAGUCAUCUAUUAGAAAAGUUGAUCUCUAAUUCUGUCAUUCGAAAGUAGUAAGCUCAGAAUUCAAUCCUUGAUGUAAGUACAUCCAGAUCCUCAGUUAUCAGUAUCAGAUGAGUCAGUGAUUUAGUAUCUCAGUGUCAGCAGCGAGUUUAGUCCGCAGUAAAGUAGUAUCCGAGUUUCAGUAUCUAGAGUUGCGAUGAUUGUGUUCAUGGUCUGUGCAUUCAUGUAUGUGUUCUCAUGCGGCAUCUUUCAUGAUUAUUUCAAUUUAGAUACUGUACAUGCAUGGGCCCUUGCACUAGCCUACCCCGUCUACAUACUCAAUACAUUCCUGUACUGACGCAUUUGCGCUAUGGUAUUUUAUUUGACACCAUAGGUUCAAAGGCAUAGGAUCCAGAUUAUCCUCAGCAGUUUAGUCCCAAUCAGCAGCAGUAGUAGUGACUUCUCUUCUUUCGAGGAUGAAUCUCAGUUUACUAUUAUUAUUUUAGACUUUAUUUAUUUUUAGUUGACGGAGUUAGUUGGAGACCUAUCCCAUCAACUCCUCAGUUCAGAUAGUUUAGAGGAUUUUCAGACGAAUGUAUUAAUAUUCAAUUUUCAGUAUUAUGAGUAUUCAUAGAUGUGUUGAACCUUAUGGCUAGUUUCUGUAUUUAUUUCUGAUAUUAUGCAGUGUACAAGUACAGAUAUCAGUAAAGGGUUAGCUUGUGGUCCUUUGGGGUCAUAAGCACCGCGUGGCAUCUCGGGAUGGGAUCUCGGGGCAUUACACUAAGCUCCUUUUAUAUUGCCAAAUAAUAUGGGUAUUACAUUUUUUGCAGUUCAAAAAUUCAUUGAUAAUGAAGUUGCUAAGGUAACUAUUGCAGAAAUUAAUAAUUUGAUUUCUAAAAAUAAUUAUAUGAGCUUAUAUAUGAAAGUUUUAGGAGAACAUAUUUCCUCUCUUGAUAAUAAACUUGAUGAUUUAAUUGAUUUGAUAAAGAAACUGAGUAUCUACUAAUAUUAUUUCUUCUUUCGAAAGCAAGAUAGGAGAUUUGACGACUAAAAUCAGUAUUCAACGACCCCCUAAUAUUGAGGGAUUUAAAAUUCACUUUUUUAUGAUUUAGAACAACUUCUUGAUAAAAAGCUUUUCUGGUAUAAAUGUUAGACCCAUUGAUUUGUCUAAUGCCUUUGUUGAUAGUCUAGAAACCACUCUUGAUUUAAAAAAUUAGACUAAAUCUGAGUUUAAUAAGCUCAGAAGAAUAACUAGAAAGCAGUUGGGUAAAAAUCUCAGAUAUGCAGAUUCACCCUGUAUACAAACUUAUUACUAUCCGCGACCCACUUCUCAAGAAGUUCUGAUAGAGGAAAGGGACUGGAAUCAGACUAAUACGUCCUAUAGAGGAGAUGAUAUUUAUGAAUAGAAUCUUGAUAGCUUAACAGAGAGGCAAUUAACAAUCCUCGUACACCGCAUGAUGAUGUAUUCAAAGGUGUGUAAAGACGGUGGUAAUACAAAUAAUAGAACAGAUAAAGUUAUCUAUAAAAUGAUAGUUGCUGGUUUUACUGGCCAACUUCAUGGCUGAUGGGACAAUUAUUUGACUCAAGAGAAAAAAAAGUCAAUUUUUAAUGCUAUAGCUACUACUCAAGGGACUGAUAAUUUAGGAAGAACCCUCCCUACAAAUAGGGAAGAUGUUAUUUAUACGCUUGUUCUUACAAUUUUAGAACACUUUAAUGGUAGAUUUAUCAACAAGUACGAAAAUAUUCGUACUCUCUUAAAUGGGCUUAGAUGUAAGACCCUAGGAGAAUUUAGGUGUUACAAAGAUAUAUUUUUAAGUAGGGUUAUGGAAUUACCCGAAAAUAGUUAUGAACAUUGAAAGGCCAAGUUUAUAGAUGGACUUCCUUCAUUGUUUGCUGAAAAAGUUAGAAAAUCUCUUAGAGGCUCCUAUGGUGAAAUUCCUUGGGGAAAUUAUAUCUAUGGUCAUUUGAUAUCAGCUUGUACACAAUAAGGGUAAAACCUAUGUAAUGUGUUAAAAUUGACUAGACAAAUUAAGGUUGAUAAGCUUAGAGAAAAAUAUCAGAUAGCAGAUUUCUGUACCUAGUUUGGUAUAUCUGAACCAGCUUCCACUUUUAAAAAGAAAGAAAAUAGAUAUUCCAAAAAAUGAUCAGCCUUAUAGAAAAAAGAGAUCUAGAUAUAGGUCUAAAGAAGAACAUGAAACUAGAAAAACCUAUAGAAAAUCUACAAGAUUUGCCAAAAACAUGUCUAAGCAAGAUCUUGCUAAGAUUAAAUGUUAUAGAUGCGGUAAUUUGGGGCAUAUUGCUCCAAAUUGUAAGAUCUAAAAGCUUAAAUCUUUAGGUCUUGCUGAUGAUGUGCAUGAUCAAGUUUAUGGUUUAUUAUACACCUUAGGUUCAGAAUUUGAUUAUAAUACUGAAUCUGAAACGGUAAAAUGAUAUUGAAUUACCUGAUUCAUCGGAUAAUGAUAAUGUUAAUAAUUGUUCCAAUUUCCAAGGUGAUACCUGCACUUGUGAUGACGCAUUUUAUAAUUUGCAAUCCCAGUUUGAAGAUUUAAAUGUUCAAACCAUUACUCUUAAAAAUGUGUUAGAACUAUAGAAAGAAGUUUCGGAGGAGAAACUACGUGAAAAGAUUAUUAAUUUGUAUACUAGUUCAAAAUCUAGUACUUCUAAACAUUCUGAUAGCAAUACCUUUACUCCUAAAAUUACUGAUAGCAAUAAUUUUAUGCCUUAUUCUUUAGCAAAAGUUAAUAGAUGAUAACUCUUGGCAAAGAUACUUCUUUUGAUGAUUUAAAAAUUGAAGUUGAAAACUUGAAAAAGGAUAUUAAAUCUCUUAAACAAAAUCAGAUGAUUUGUGAUCACAGAAUUUGCAAAUUGAGAAAGAUAUUUCUCACACUGAAAAUUCUAAAGGGAAAGAAAAGAUUUCUGAAGAAAAUGAUAAUACUGAUGAUAUUCAAAAUUCCCUUGACAUGAAAAAUAAUUAUUUUUUAGGUAUGAUGCAAAUUGUUACUGCCCAUAAAUGGUAUAUUAAAUCUACUAUUUUGAUUUAUAAUCAUUUCUCUUUAACUAAUAUUACUAUGAUUGAUAGCGGCGUAGAUAUUAGUUGCAUACAAGAAGAAUUAAUUCCCACAAGAUAUUUUCAAAAAACUACACAUAUAGUUAAAUCGGCAUCUGGACAUGCUCUUGAUAUAGAGUAUAAAUUGCCUAAUACUCAUACUUGCCAAAAUAAAGUGUGCAUUCCACAUUUUUUCUUUUUGGUAAAAAAUCAGUUAUACCCUCCAAUUAUACUAUGAACUCCUUUUAUAAAUGUUGUUUAUCCUAAUACUCAUAUUGAUGCAAAAGGAUUUUCUGCUACUAACAAGAAUAAAGAGAUAUCUUAUUCUUUUGAUACAGAUCCAGUAACUAGGGAUAUAAAUGCUUUAAUUGAUAUUAAGCAAAGACAUGUUAAUUUCUUACAACUUGAAUUACUUAGCAUAAAUAUUUUUGAUAUAAUGAAAUCUGCAAAGGUACAAGAAAAAAAUUAAAUUGAUUUCCGAACAAAUGGCUGUUGAUAUUUGUGCUGAUCACCCCAAUGCUUUUUUGAAUCGCAAAAGGUAUAUUGUUACUCUUCCUUAUGAUGAUAAUUUUUGUGAGGAUAAUAUCCCAACAAAAUCGCGACCUUAUCAAAUGAAUGCUGAAUUAGUUGAAUUCCACAAAAAAGAGAUUGAUCAUUUGUUACAAAAGAGUUUGAUAAAACCUUCAAAUUCUCUUUAGUCAUGUCCUGCUUUUUAUUUUAAUAACGCAACAGAAAAGGAACAUGGUAUUCCUAGGUUGGUAAUAAAUUACAAACCUCUGAAUAAAUAUUUAAAAUGGAUUAGGUAUCUUAUUCCAAAUAAAAAAGAUUUAUUAUCCCGAUUAUACGAUGCCAAUAUAUUUACUAAAUUUGAUGUAAAAUCUAUAUUUUGGUACAUAUAAAUUUUCAAAGAGCAUAUUUAUAGAACUUCUUUUAAUAUUCUUUUUGGGCAAUAUGAAUGGAAUGUUAUGCCCUUUGGUUUAAAAAAUGCCCCAUCAGAAUUUUAGAAAAUAAUGAAUGAUAUAUUUAAUCCUUAUAUGGAUUUCAUCAUUAUUUAUAUUUAUGGCAUUCUUGUUUUUUCUAAAAAAUUUGAAUUACAUAUGAAGCAUCUUGAUAUUUUUAAGAAAAUUGUGAUACAAAAUGAUUUGGUGAUAUCUAAAUAAAAAAUGAGUUUAUUUCAAAAAAAUGUUAGAUUCUUAGGACAUAAUAGUUGUCAAGGGAAGAUUACUCCCAUCCAAAGAUCCAUUGAUUUUGCUUCUAAAUUUUCUGAUGUUAUAACUGACAGGACUAAAUUGCAGAGAUUUUUGGGAAGUAUGAAUUAUAUUUCCUCCUUUUAUGAGAAUUUAUCUCGCGAUUUAGCCCUAUUAUACAAUAGGCUAAAAAAGAUUAUAAAUGCUCUUGGACCUAUAAUCUCACCAAUCUUGUUAAACGUAUUAAACAUCAUGUUGAAUCUUUACCCUGUUUAACUUUGCCAAUUCUGCUUGGCAAAAAAUUAUUGAGACUGAUGCGUCAAAUAUUGGUUACGGAGGAAUACUGAAACAAGUUAAUCCCCAUGAUAAAACUGAUUGCUUAAUAAGAUUUCAUUCAGGUAAAUGGACAGAUAGUCAGAAAAAAUUUGCUACGGUAGCUCAUGAAAUUCUAACCAUUAGUUUUCAUAUCUAUGCUGGAGAUUUUUUCUGACUAUCAAUCCAUUUACCUUAAUGAAAUCUUAUUAAGCAUUUAGUUUUAUCAUGGGGAUUAACUUGUUUCAGUAUUCCUCCAUAACCAAUAUUCGACUCAUCAGUCUCAAUAAUAUUUUGCCAAGCAGGAUUGACUAAAGUUAAAUAGAGUAAAGAUUCAACAUGAUGUUUAAUACGUUUAACAAGAUUGGUGAAUUUAUUGGUCCAAGAGCCUUUAUAAUCUUUUUUUAGCCUAUCGUAUAUGGGGUUAAAUCGCGAGAUAAAUUCUCAUAAAACGAGAAAAUAUAAUUCAGGCUUCCCAAAAAAUCUCUGUAAUUGAGUCCUGUCAGUUAUAACAUCAGGAAAUUUAGAAGCAAAAUCAAUGGAUCUUUGGAUGGGAGUAAUCUUCCAUUGACAGAUAUUAUGUCUUAAGAAUCUAAUAUUUGUUUGAAAUAAACUUAUUUUUGGUUUAGUUAUCACCAAAUUAUUUUGUAUAACAAUUUUCUUAAAAAUAUCAAGAUGCUUGAUAUGUAAUUCAAAUGUUUUAGAAAACACAAGAAUGUCAUCAAUAUAAAUGAUGAUGAAAUCCAUAUAAGGAUUAAAUAUAUCAUUCAUUAUUUUCUAAAAUUCUGAUGGGGUAUUUUUUAAAUCAAAAGGCAUGGCAUUUCAUUCAUAUUGCCCAAAAGAAACAUUAAAAGUAGUUCUAUAAGUACGCUCUUUGAAAAUUUGAAUUAUCCAAUAUCCAGAUUUUAAAUCAAAUUUAGUAAAUAUAUUGGAAUCAUAUAACCGGGAUAAUAAAUCUUUUUUAUUUGGAAUAGGAUACCUAAUCCAUUUUAAAUAUUUAUUCAGAAGUUUGUAAUUUAUUACCAACCUGGGAAUACCACGUUCCUUUUCUGUUGCGUUAUUAACAUAAAAAGUAGGACAUGACUAAAGAGAUUUUGAAGGUUUUAUCAAACCCUUUUGUAAUAGAUUAUCAAUCUCUUUUUUGCAGAAUUCAACUAAUUCAGCAUUCAUUUGAUAAGGUCGCGAUUUUGUUGGGAUAUUAUCCUCACAGAAAUUAUCAUCAUAAGGAAGAUUAACAAUAUGCCUUUUGUGAUUCAAAAAAGUACUGGGGUGAUCAACACAAAUAUCAACAACCAUUUGUUCGGAAAUCAAUUUAAUUUUUUCUUGUACCUUUGCAGAUUUCAUUGUAUCAAAAAUAUUUAUGCUAAGUAAUUCAAGCUGUAAGAAAUUAACAUGUCUUUGGUUGAUAUCAAUUAAAGCAUUUAUAUCCCUAGUAACCAGAUCUGUAACAAAAGAAUAAGAUAUCUCUUUAUUCUUAUAAGUAGCAGUAAAUCAUUUUCCAUCAAUAUGAGUAUAAAGAUAAAUAGCAUUUAUAAAAGGAGUUUCAAGUAUAAUUGGAGGGUAUAACUGAUUUUUUACCCAAAAAAAAUGUGGAAUGCACACUUUAUUUUGACAAAUAUGAGUAUUAGGCAAUUUAUACUCUAUAUCAAGAGCAUGUCUAGAUACAGAUUUGACUAUAUGAGUAGUUUUUUGAAAAUAUCUUGUGGGAAUUAAUUCUUCUUGUAUGCAACUAACAUCUGUACCACUAUCAAUCAUAGCAAUAUUAGUUACAGAGAAAUGAUUAUUAAUCAAAAUAGUACAUUUAAUAUACCAUUUAUGGGAAGUAACAAUUUGCAUCAUACCUAAAAAAUAAUCAUUUUUCAAGUCAAGGGAAUUUUGAAUAUCAUCAAUAUUAUCAUUUUCUUCAGAAAUCUUUUCUUUCCCUUUACUGCUACGACGAUGACAACAACAACAACAACAACAACAACAACAACAAGAACUAUAAUAAGAAUAAUAACAAUAAUGAUAAUAAUAAUAAUAAUAAUAAUAAAAAAAAAUAAUAAUAAUAAUAAUAAUAAUAAGAAGAAGAAGAAGAAGAAGAAGAAGAAGAAGAAGAACAAUAAUAAGAACAAGAACCAGGACAAGAACAAUAGAAACCAACUUUGGUAGGUCUAAAGUUAUUACGAGAAGACCUAUUAAAUGGGAUGAAAUUGAUUUUCCCAAAGAAUGGAUUCUUGAGGAUGCAGCUCCUCCUCAGAAUAAUCCCAAUAGUGAGAUCACAGAGGUAGAACAAACCGUUGAUGGUACUGUUAAGAUCAAACUUUCUGAUUCUUUGACUCUAUUGAAUAGAGCUAAUAAUUUGAGUAUUGCAUCAGCAUCAAGAUUAAUCAGAUCAACAUCUUCAUAUAGUUCUCCUAGUGAUUAUAUUGUCAAUUCUACAUCUAGAGCCUCUACUUCUCAAAUUAGAGAAAGUUCUAGAAUGAACAAUAUUAGAAUUGAUAGAGAUAAUAUUGCUAAUAUUGUUCCUGCUAUGGAUCCUACUGAGUUCGAAAUGAAUUUUUCCACAAGUUUAAAAUGAAUCAAAUUAAAAUUGAUUUUAGCCUGGGAUCACCGGCAAGAAAAAGAUCUCAGAUGAGUUCUUUAAGCCUAGAUGGGAACUAUUUAGAAAAUGUUUUUUUCAAAGCUUUAGUAAAGAAGAAAAAAUUAUUUUUCAGGAAGAAUUUUAUAAAGAUCUUUCUAUUUAUAAUAUAAUGAUUGUUUUUGUACCUUGGUUUAUGGACAAAUAUGUGGAUGAUUAUAUUUUCAUGCUUACAAAAGACUUUAAAUUAAGUACUGGUGAAAUUACCACAUCAGUCUUUCCCCCUCCCCCUAACAAUCUUUUCAAAUUGAAAAGAUAACAAAGUAGUAUAUUUUACUGAUUUUGGUAAAUUGCUUGAGAAUGAUACUGCUCUUAUUACUUUUCAGCAUGCCAAUAUGAUACUAAAACAACAUAAUUAUGCUAAUAUUUAUAUGAGCAUAUUUGGAGAACAAAUUAUUUCUCUACAUGAUAGAGUUGAUAAAAUUUUAUCUUAAUUAAAGAAAAUAGAGCUUAGUAAUACUAAGCAAAAAGAUCAAAAAGAUCAAGUUGUUAUUGCUACUGCUAGUAUUCAGCCUCCUCCUGAUAUUAGGGAUUUCAAGCUAAGCAUCAACUUAGAUGAUAUGCAAAAAUUGUUAGAAAAAAAAUUUAGUGGAUUGAAAAUUAAUCCUAUCCACAAUGAGAGAAAAACAGAGGACCAAUCAGGUUCUAGUGAGGUUAAUAAAAUCUCAAAAAAAAUUGCGAGGAAACCAAUCCCAAGGAUGUUUUAUUAUCCUAGACCAACUCCCCGAGAUGUGCUAUUAGAAGAGCAAGAAUUGCUCAUUCCUAAUAGUUUUAGGGGAAACAAAAUCUACGAAUGGAACAUAGAUGGUUUCACUGAUAGACAAAUUUCUACUGUAGUACAUAGAAUGUUGAUGUAUAGUAUGAUUUACAAGGGCCAUAAGGAUAAUAAUGAUAAAACCAUUACAGAAAUGAUUACUGCAGGAUUCACUGGUCAGCUAAAAGGCUAGUGGGAUAAUUAUCUCACUUUAGACCAAUGCACAAAAAUUUUGCAUGCAGUUAAGAUGAAAGGGGGUCAACCUGUUAUAAAUGUGGUUUACACCUUGGUUCUUAAUAUUAUAGAGAAUUUUUUCUGGAAGAUGGUCUGGUAAUAGUGAGACUAUCAGAUCUAUGCUCUAAAAUCUGAAAUGUAAGACUCCCACAUCGUUUAGAUGGUAUAAGGAUAUAUUCCUGUCAAGAAUCAUGGAAUUACCAGAGAGUAAUAGCUCUCACUAGAAGUCCAAAUUUAUAGAUGGUCUUCCAAUGUUAUUUGCGGAAAGAAUUUGAAAGGCUCUUAGAGGACCUUCCUUAAAUAUUAACUAUGAUGAGUACACUUAUGAAAAUUUGAUCAACGUUUGUACUCAAGAAUGUCUAUCCUUAUGUAAUGAGAUAAAGAUGAAUCAACAAGUUAAGAAGUAUCGUUUUAAUGAGAGACAACAAUUAAGAGAAUUUUGUGAGCAAUUCUCCAUAAACAUUCCUAAGACUUCUAAAGAGCCUUGUAGGCAUAAGAAGAAAAAAUUCUCUGAGGAUAGACAGGUUAAGAAAAUUAAGAAAAAAUAUAGAAGGAAAAAGAAUUAUAUAUCUAGAAAGGAUUAUAGGAAAUCUAAGAAUACUAAUGCUUGCUACAGAUAUGGUAGAGUAGGUCACUUUGCGAAAGAUUGCAAAAUAAAGGAAAAAAUUAAGAGUCUCAUAUUAGAUGAUGAAAUUAAAGACUCUUGGUGCAAAAUAUUUCUCAAUUCCUCUCCGAAAAAUUCGAAUCUGAACUACAGCGAUAAUGAGGAAUAUCAUUCAUCUACGGAUGAAAACCUUUGAGUCCUUCAUAAUAAAGAUUAUAUGUUUUCAGAAGAUGAAUGUCUUCAGAAGACGAAUGUCUUCAGAAGACGAAUAUCUUCCAUGUCAACAAGGAAAACCUUUUAGUAACAAGAAAGUAGAAGAUGUUUUUUAUAACAUCUACUCUCAAUUCCAAGAUUUGGAAAUCAAUAUUUUAAAGGAAUACAGAUUAGCAACUCUUUUAGAAAUGCUAAAGAAUUUGAACCAUGAGGGAGAUCAACCCUCUACUAGUUAUUCUAAAGAAUAGGAGGAAAUUUCCUCCCAAGAGGGUCCAUAUACUAUGACAAAAGUCUGCAAACUUCUCAGAGAGAGACAAAAAGUGGUUGAGGUCUCGGCAACAACCCAAGAUCUAUAGGGUGAGAUUAAUAAUCUUAAGAAAUAAAUAUCUUUCCUUAAAAAUCAUAAUAUGGGUUUGGACAAAAGAGUUUCUGUAUUAGAAAACCAAGUGUCAGACAUACAGAAGUAAGUCAUAAUCCUACCUUAUCUGAUGAAGGAUUUCUUCAAACUUUAGAAGUUGUUACCCAACAAUAUUUUUAUGCUAAAGCAACUCUUUUAAUUGAUUACAAUUAUAAAAAAAAAAAAUUUACAACUCUCAUUGAUAGUGGGGCAGGUUGUAAUUACAUUCAAAAAGGUCUAUUACCUUCAAAAUAUUUUGUAAAAACUACUCAUGUUUUAAGAAAUGCCAGUGGUCAUAAGAUGGGGGUAGAAUAUUAAAUCCCCAAGGCAUAUAUUUAUCAAGAUAAAAUCUGCAUGUCAGAGUUUUUCGUACUGGUAAAGAAUAUCAGCGACGAGAUCAUUCUGGGAAAAUCAUGGUUUGUCCAUCUAUAUCCCAUUAUUAGGUGGGGUGAAAAUAGGCUAAAAGAUACCUUUGAUAAUAUGGAAAUCAAGUUUGAAUGGUGUGAACCACCUUAUAACAGAUAUAUAAACCUGAUAAAGGAAAAAAUACUUUCCAAAAAUAGACAAAUGGAAUUUUUACAAAAUUAAAUUUGUAGUUUGUCAAUAGAACAAACUUUACAAAACCUUAAACUAACAGAAAAAAUAGAUUUUCUAAAAAAAUAGUUUUCUUUAGAAAUAUGUGGAGAUCAUCCAAAUACUUUUUGGCAAAGGAAAAAAUAUGUGGUUAGUCUUCCAUAUGAAGACAGUUUUCAAGAGGAUAAUAUCUCCACUAAGGAAAGACCUUGUCAAAUGGAUUUUGAAUAUUUAAAAUUCUGUAAGAAAAUUGAUUCUCUUUUGCAUAAAGGUCUCAUACGACCUUCUAAAUCUCCAUGGUCAUGUACUGCAUUCUAUGUUAAUAAACAUGAUGAGUAGGAAAGAGGGAUACCAAGAUUGGUUAUUAAUUAUAAAUCUCUCAACAAAGUCCUCAGAUGGAUCAAGUAUUCAAUUCCUAAUAAAAAGAACUUAUUAGACAUAUUAUAUGAUGCUCAAAUAUUUUCUAAAUUUGACUUGAAAUCAGGUUACUGGCAAAUCCAAAUAUUGGAGGCAGAUAAAUAUAAGACUGCUUUUAAUGUUCCAACAGGAUAAUUUGAAUGCAAUGUCAUGCCGUUUGGAUUAAAGCAUGCUCCUGCAAGAUUCUAGAAUAUUAUGAAUGAUAUAUUCAUGCCCUAUAGAAACUUCAUGAUUGUUUACAUUGAUGACAUCUUGGUAUUCUCAAAAAAUAUAGAGACACACUUUAAACAUUUGGAUCUUUUCAAAAAGAUCAUCAUACAAUGGUUUAGUUAUAUCUAAACCAAAGAUGUUUCUCUUUUAGACGAAAGUCAGAUUUUUAGGUCAUAAUAUUGACCAAGGGAAAAUUUUUCAUAUUAAUAGAAGCAUAGAAUUUGCUUCUGAAUUCCUAGAUAUUAUAACAGACAAAACUCAAUUACAGAGAUUUCUGGGUAGUCUGAAUUAUAUAUCUCCUUUUAUAAAGGAUCUUGCUAAAAAUACUACUAUCUUAUAUGAUAGAUUAAAGAAAAGUCCAAAUACAUGGACAGAGAGUCAUACUCUCACAGUAAAAAAAUUAAGGCAAAGGUUAAUAACCUACUGUGUUUUACUCUAGCCAAUCCAAAUUGGGAUAAAAUUAUUGAGACUGAUACUUUUGAUAUUGGCUAUGGAGGAAUUUUAAAACAAUACUCCCCACAAGAUAAGAAAGCCUAUUUCAUCCAAUUUUAUUCUGGAAAAUGAAAUACUAACCGAAAGAAUUAUGCAACUAUUGCUAAGAAAAUCCUUGCAAUAGUUAAAUGUAUUUUAAAAUUUCAAGGUGAUUUAUAUAACCAAAAGUUUUUAAUAAAAUUGAUUGUCGGGCUGCUAAGUUUAUCUUUAAUAAAGAUUAUAAACACAAUAUGUCCAAAGAAAUGUUUGCAAGAUGUCAAGCUUUAUUAGUUUUAUUUGUUUUUGAAAUUCAAUAUUUAAAGGGAUCAGAUAAUAGUUUUCCCAAUUUUCUCACUAGGAAAUAUCUAACCUAAUGUCUUCCAUGUUGUACAGGAUGAAAUCUCAGGGAUCAACCUCCUCUAAUAAAGGCAGGGGAAGAAAAAAAUCAAACAGAGGCAGCGAAAAUAUCCUUGCCCAAAUAGGAAAUCAAAGGCUAAUAGCUGUGAAUAUUGCAAGUUAAUCUGAUCCUAAUACGGAUCAACAAAUAUACAAGGACUUCUUGAAAUUUAUAAAAUCCAAGAAAGGAGAGAAUGUUGUCCCCUCACACUCCAGUGCUCUUACUAAUAAUGAUAAUGAGAAUAUUGAGAUCUACGAACAAAAUGAAGCAGAUGAAGUUAUACUCAUCUUGAAAAACAGUGAUCUUGAUGGAGAAAUGAUCCAUGGCAGCUUAUGCAAAGGUAUCUGGAUAAUACAUCCUAUGCCACUAUGACAUACAAAUAUCAUAUGCAUUUUGAAAUAAUACUAUCUCAAACAGGAUCAGCCAAAAUUUAGCAUUUUUACACGGCCGCCAAUAUCAAGAAAGACUACAGCUUUUCUAAAAUCAUCAUAAAAAAGAUUUUUACUCCAAGAGAGUGGCAUUAAUCACUCUUAAAGAAAAGAAUUACAUACAUCCAGAGCAGAAAGCUUCAGUUAAAUUCAAUUACUGGGAUUAUGUUGAAAGCUUUCAUGAAGCUUUGUUAUACGAAAAUCCUAAUAGGAAGCAUUCGUGGAUUAUAAAGAUUUGUGGAAAUAUCUACAAACAAAGCAUCAUAAAUUAGUUUACACAGUGGUGGAUCUAUUAUGGUCCUUCGGCAAAAAUAUUGGCACAACCCUUCAAAAGAUUACAUUCUGAUUGGAUAGAAGUAUCUCUGAUGCUUCUUAAAUUACAAAGAGACAAUAUCUACUUUACAGGGAUAUCGACAAUGUAUUUCUUUAUUGAAUUUUCUAUCCCAUGGAUUAUGAAAUGGUCCGUGGAGGUAAAACCUAAUAUUGAAAAUUUCCAGUGUUUGAAGGAAAUUUUUUAUACAAAAUUCUGGAAUAAACUUAAUAAAAAAACAGCUAACAACUUAAUAAUUCAAUAAAAACUGCCAUCACCUAAUAUAGAGAACAGAGGGAUAUGGCUCCACUACAUGAACAGGAUGAACUCAUCCCAUUCAAGACCAUUGCCAAGAAGCUUCAAAUGAAGAAAGUCAUAGUAUCAAGGUCCGAAAUGAUCCUCGUAUAUGAAGGAAGUCAAAAGAGACCUAAUGAGAAAUUUAGACAGGAAAAAUGUAUCGAAUAUAUCCAUGACAUCUGUAGGUCAUACCACAGAUAAUGAAGAAGACUGUCUAGCUGGGGAAUCUCAGAGCAUACAGAGUAAUUUGAAAAAAUUUACCGCUACAUUAGAAGAAUCUUUCAGCUCCGCAAAAAAUAAAGAAAAAUAGAAGAUAUGACAUAAUUAAAGACCCCACAAACUAUAUUAUUGGGGAAAAUACUAGCUGGACGAUAGCUUUUAUGAAGCAUGAACAGUAAAGGCCACUUUCUUUUAUAAAGUAAAGGUCAUUUGUGUAAUAGUAAAGGUCAAUGUGUAAUAGUAAAGGUCAAUUAGGAAUAGUAAAGGCCAUUUUUAUUUUUGUGUUUUGCUUUGAGUAUCUGCUAUAUAAGGAUCUCAUUCUUUUCAUUUGAAGGAUAGGUUUUAGAAAAUCACCUCUCUCUACUACUCUCAAAAGCUCUCUUCUUGUAAUAUAAAUAUCUUGGAAUAAAAGUCUUUAGUUCUGAUCACACUCAUCCAUGUUAAGGACUCAUCCGUGUUAAGGUAUUUUAAAUUUUUAUUGUUAAUUUUAUUUUAUUUUCUUAAUACUAGCCUAAUGAUAGGAUAAAUCACUCGUGUUGAACUAUAACAUACUAAGCUAUUAGUAUAGUAUGGCAUAAGUUAUUCAAAUAAGAAUCAAGUCAUCCAAUGAUAUUAAGGUCGCAAUAAAUAGACUUGCAGUAAUAGUUUUGAUUCAGGCUUCAUGCCGGAAGUCCAUUUGAAAGGCUUGUUAGUUAGGAGGGAAUUAAAGGUUGUGUUUUUUGGACCCGUUUUAUAAUGAUGAUGAUGAUGAUGAUAAUAAUAAUAAUAAUAAUAAUAAUAAUAAUAAUAAUAAUAAUAAUAAUAAUCCAGAUUAACAAGAUUUAAGGGUUGGCGAUAAUCCGUGUGGCCAUCGAGACCUAUACUUUUGGAAGAACCGAAAUAUACGAGAAUUUCUUAUAGCUUAUUAACUGUAUGGAAGUAUUAAUCCUUUACCCAAGCAAAAGGCAUGUCAGAAUUUAAUACAUACUUAAGUUGAGCUCAUGUGUGCAGCGAUUCUAUCAAAUAUUUUUGGAGUAUCUUCCAUGGUUCAUUUCUCCUUUGAAUCUCAGAGUUUUCAACAAGAAAUAUCAUUCUUUGUUUUCUAGUUGCUCAUAGGACUUGAUAUCAUCAUUGUCCUUGCCUUUAGCAAUUGAAGAAAAUGUAUCACGUUGCUUUUGGGCAGCUAAAUAUGCCUGCAAUUGCCCGAAUAACGGACUGUCUUCUGGGAUAUCUUCUAAAUGAAUUGAAGGAGAUGACAUCUCCUAUUUCCAUGAGUAGAGAAUACCAGAUUGACAAGAUCUGAGGAUUAGCGGUAAUCCGCGCGGCCAUCCAGACCUAUACUAUCGGGAGAACCAAAAUAUACAAGAAUUUCUUACAUCUUAUUGACUGUAUGAAAGUAUUCAUAUUUUACCCGAGCAAAUGGCUGUCAGAAUUUAAUACAUACUUAAGUUGAGCCCAUGUGAUUAUGCCUAAUUUAGAAUUGGAAAAAAUACAUAAAGUAGCAUAUUUAAGUAUUAAAUUACAAAAAGUAACAACAAUUUUAUUAAAUUAUAUUUUGUAGCAUAUGUAUUUGUAUGUAUUUGUAUUUUUGUAGCAACAGUUUGCAAAAAUACAAAAUACAUAUCGAUCAUAAUGGCAGUAAAAAUCAUAUGUAUUUGUAUUUAUAUAGCAACAGUUUACAAAAAUACAAAAUACAACUUGCUAUAUUAUGUAAUUAUGAAACUAUUGUUAUGAAAUUCAUAAUUAAGCAGAUAAGUAUGGUAUUUCUGAAUUUUGCCCUUUAGAAUUUAUCAACCAAACAAAUAAAGAUUCUAAUUAAAUGUUAAAAUUAUACUUAACAUAAAAAUUUUAAGUACCAACAUUGGGUCAUGUGUAGCACGGCGUAACCAACUAAUUUUUGUACAAUUAUCCCAUCCCCCAAAAAUAAAAUUAGUCUCAAGUUCAUGAUAGCCAAAACAUGAAAGGAAACGUGACUUCUACAAGCCUCUAACAAACGAAAUGCAUUUUAACACUAAUUUUAUUACAGCCAAGUAGCUUAAACCAAACAAUUGGUGCAUAGAUUUCUCGAAAACACACAAACUAAUAACUAAGAAUGAAAGCCAGUUCAACUCUUCGAUAGUUUUGAAUAAAAUAGAUAUAGCUAAGUCAUAUACCAAAGGUACCGUACAAUGCACAAAAUAUGCAAGUAUCAAACGACAUACCCAUCUCACAAUUGAGGACUUCCGAACCAAAUUAAAAAUAGCUAAAUCGUAAUACAUGCCCACAAAAUAAUCCUCACGUCUACUAAAUUUAAAUUAUACUGAAGACAUUUUCCUCAAACAUAAAUAAGAGAAGAUUCAAGAAUAUUCAAGACAUUCACAUGAAAACAUUUUAGAACCAUAGCUCACAUGUAUGCAUUCGCCAACCAGAGCAUAUCAUAAGUCUUAAGAAAAAAAAGGACAAAAGGUCCAUUUAGAUGAAAUUUCAAAAAAGAGGUGGCAUACUAUUUUCAACCUAGACAGAAAGCAACAUAUCUUUUGAUUAAAGAGAGAGAGAGAGAAAGCUUAACAUGUAUAUCGAUGAAUAAGUAGUGAGCAAAUUUAUCUAUCCUACUCUACGACAUUUAGAAUGCCACAACAUCAUGACAUACAUACUUAUACUUACAUUUUACACUCAAACAAGAUAACAUUUCAGAUUUAGGGCCCGUUUGGGAUUGCAGUAACAAAACUACUUAUUUGAGAAGCACUUUUAUAAAAUGACUUUUCAAAAAAAUAUUUUUUAAAAAAAGCAGUUUGUGUUUGGUAAAUUCAGUGCUUUAGAGAAUCUAAUUAUGUUUGGAUAAUCUUUUUCAAGAAAUGAUUUUUUGAGACAAAUGACCAAAAAGGACAUCUAUCAAUAGAUUUUUAUUACUAAAAUCAAUUUAUAGAGAAAAAUUAUUUUAAAUAUGUAUUAUAAUAUUUUUAAUUAAAUUAUUUUAUUUAAUUAAAAAGUACGUACUCUAGAAUUUUCAAUCAAUAUUUAUAUACAUAAAUACAUUAAAAAAAAUUAAAUGGUGAUAUAUUACUUAAAUAAUUUAAAUAUUACUUAAAACAUCUAACAAAAAUGAAUAUAAAAGUUAUUUCAUAAAUUAAAUCACUACAUAUGAAAAAAAUUAACGACAAAAAUAAUUGGCAAAAUCAUCUAUUUAGACGGACAAAAUCACAAUUACUUUCAUGGUUAUAAUAACCUUUCACACGUGAGACACUCUAAAUUUUAUAAAUAUAAAACCUAAACACUCAACUCGAACAUGAUAAAUUAACAAGCAAUCCAAGGCAUCUGUUUACGCAUACAGAUAACAAAUUCCAUCAAAGAAUCUUGAAUCAUUACUUUCUUUUUAAAAUAUCUUAAGGUCUUUUUGUACCAUGCUCAAGCAUAUAUUCUGCUGCAUCUAAAACAUAUAAGAACCAUAUAACAAGCUAAUACCAUAUCUGAUUACGCACUAAAAUGAGAAUCACAUUUUUUGAUUAAGAUGAUAAAGCAAAGGAGAAUUACGGACCUAUUUUGGAGCAAUAAACUAGGGAUUCCUCAUUGGAGAUUCAAACUCAAACUCGAAUUUCAACUACGGAAAGGGAGCAAGAGAAAUGAGAGGAAAUAGUAGAACGAAUUUGCUGAUUUUUUUUGCUAAUUUUCUAAUUGUUGAUUCUUGGUGAUCCUUGACUCUUGCUUGAUUUUUUCGGCUGACCAAAAAUGGGAGCUCAAGGGCUCCUUUUAUAGCCAAAUUUGAUGGGUUGCCAAGUAAAGCCUCAAGAAUUCAAAAUUUGAAUUCUUGAGAAUCUCAACUGCCGGAAAAUAAAAAUAAAGGCUGAAUUUUACUCUUUUUCAAAUUGAGGUGAAGGGGAAAUGAUAGUUUCGGAGAUACAAGUUCGGACCCAUCAUAUUAAAGGGAUUACAACCUCAAAUCCGAUGGUUCUUCACUAUCUUUAUCUUUUUAGAAAUGGCAGAGAAGAUAAAGUGCUUUACGAUAUGGUGAAGGGAUAUAAUGCUGAUGAAAACUUUGGCAUUGAUGGAUGUGGGAGGAAAAGGGAAGGGGGAGGUUAAGGGCCAUCAGAAUUGCUAUUAUCCAAUGGUACGAGGGGAAAUCGGCAUUGCAGAGAUGAAAGAGAAGCUGAAAUAAUGUUUCUAAUUGCAGUCUAGUUAGAAACGAAUGGGAGAUUGAGAGAGCAGAAAAAUGAAGGGUUUAAUUAGCUUUUGGGUCGAGUCAGAGUGUUUGG
rnacentral:lncRNA from 1 species